rnacentral:rRNA from 1 species
GACAGAGGGUGCAAACGUUGUUCGGAAUUACUGGGCGUAAAGCGCAUGUAGGCGGCCACGCAGGUCGGAUGUGAAAUCCCUCGGCUCAACCAAGGAAGUGCAUUCGAAACCGCAUGGCUCGAGUCCCGGAGAGGAAGGUGGAAUUCUCGGUGUAGAGGUGAAAUUCGUAGAUAUCGAGAGGAACACCGGUGGCGAAAGCGGCCUUCUGGACGAGGACUGACGCUGAGAUGCGAAAGCGUGGGGAGCAAACAGG